rnacentral:rRNA from 1 species
CGUGAGAUGUUGGGUUAAGUCCCGCAACGAGCGCAACCCUCGCCCUGUGUUGCCAGCACGUCGUGGUGGGAACUCACGGGGGACCGCCGGGGUCAACUCGGAGGAAGGUGGGGAUGACGUCAGAUCAUCAUGCCCCUUACGUCCAGGGCUUCACGCAUGCUACAAUGGCCGGUACAACGGGAUGCGACCUCGUGAGGGGGAGCGGAUCCCUUAAAACCGGUCUCAGUUCGGAUUGGAGUCUGCAACCCGACUCCAUGAAG